GAUGAACGCUAGCGGAAGGCUUAAUACAUGCAAGUCGAGCGGUAGGUGGCUUCGGCCAUUGAGAGCGGCGCAUGGGUGAGUAACGCGUACAUGACCUACCUGUCAGAAGGGGAUAGCCCUGGGAAACUGGGAUUAAUACCCUAUGGUAUUGAUAUUAUGAAUGAUAUCAAUUAAAGUUGAGGCGCUGACAGAUGGAUGUGCGUCUGAUUAGCUAGUUGGAAGGGUAACGGCCUACCAAGGCGACGAUCAGUAGGGGGCGUGAGAGCGUGGUCCCCCACACGGGUACUGAGACACGGACCCGACUCCUACGGGAGGCAGCAGUAAGGAAUAUUGGUCAAUGCCCGCAAGGGUGAACCAGCCAUUCCGCGUGGAGGAUGAAGGCCCUAUGGGUUGUAAACUUCUUUUAGAUGGGAAGAAAAUGCUAGAUGUAUCUGGUACUGACGGUACCAUCAGAAUAAGCACCGGCUAACUCCGUGCCAGCCGCCGCCGUAACAC
rnacentral:rRNA from 1 species